rnacentral:rRNA from 1 species
GUGCCAGCCGCCGCGGUAAUACGGAGGGUGCAAGCGUUAUCCGGAUUCACUGGGUUUAAAGGGUGCGUAGGCGGGUAAGUAAGUCCGUGGUGAAAUCUCUGAGCUUAACUCAGAAACUGCCGUGGAUACUAUUUGCCUUGAAUAUUGUGGAGGUGAGCGGAAUAUGUCAUGUAGCGGUGAAAUGCUUAGAUAUGACAUAGAACACCAAUUGCGAAGGCAGCUCACUACACAAUCAUUGACGCUGAGGCACGAAAGCGUGGGGAUCAAACAGGAUUAGAUACCCUCGUAGUCC